rnacentral:ncRNA from 2 species
GCCCAUUCAAUAUCAGACGCUCAUAUAAUCGCAGGGAUAUGGCCUGCAAGUUUCUACCGGCCCGCCGUAAACGGGCCGACUAUGAGAGGCAACGGAAAUCAG